rnacentral:tRNA from 1 species
GCCCGGGUGGCUCAGUCGGUUGAGCGUCCGACUUCGGCUCAGGUCAUGAUCUCACAGUCUGUGAGUUCGAGCCCCACGUCGGGCU